rnacentral:rRNA from 1 species
ACGGAGCAAUACCGCGUGCGGGAGGAAGGCCUUUGGGUCGUAAACCGCUUUUAACAGGGAAGAAGAUCUGACGGUACCUGUUGAAUAAGCCUCGGCUAACUCCGUGCCAGCAGCCGCGGUAAGACGGAGGAGGCAAGCGUUAUCCGGAAUUAUUGGGCGUAAAGCGUCCGCAGGUGGCCUAUCAAGUCUGUUGUUAAAGCCCAGGGCUCAACUCUGGAUCAGCAAUGGAAACUGAAAGGCUAGAGUACGGUAGGGGUAGAGGGAAUUCCCAGUGUAGCGGUGAAAUGCGUAGAUAUUGGGAAGAACACCAGUGGCGAAGGCGCUCUGCUGGGCCGUAACUGACACUCAUGGACGAAAGCUAGGGGAGCG